rnacentral:lncRNA from 10 species
CAAGGUGUCAUGGACUGGGAAGUUAUGGAAAUUUUAAAGCACGAAAAGUGUGUGUGAGUGAAGUUUGUGGAGAAUGGGGAGAAGCUCACAAGUCCCAGAAGUGCUGCUCCAUGCCUCAACCAGGGCCCUAGAGGGAUGGGCUUGGUCAUGGGCGCCAUGGCCUGCAUGGGUCCAGGGGGCCCCAGGGAAGAGGAGUGGUUGGGCUGCUCAAGUCUUUGUUUGCAGAGUCCGACCUCUCACCACCAAUACCAGAUUCUCCUGGGGUAGGGUUUAACACGCAGAUCUGUGACUCCACUCCUGAGCCGGGUUCUCUGGGGAUGCAACCCUUAAAUUUGCGUUUUUUCAUGACCCUCCCUCUGAUUUAAGUACGGGGAUACUGCUGACCUGGUGCUGCCUUGCCACCCUUUACAUGCUGUGUCAUUUGGGUUAAGACAUUUGACAACUUACUAAUCUUCUGACUAUGUGUUCCCACAGGGAGGUGGGGAAGACAGGGCUCCAGCUACCACAGGACGGGCUCUGGGUAUAGCCGUUCCAGUCAGGGACAGCCGUGGAGAGACCAGGGACCAGGAAGCAGACAGUAUGAGCAUGACCAGUGGAGAAGGUACUAGUCAACCUCCAGGUAAAAAGAGUAUGGAGAGAAAAAGAGGCACACCUGGACGCAGAGCCCUGCCAGCGCCCUCCUCUGCUGUUGCAGCUGCAAGGAGACCAUGCCUGUGGGAGCCAGGCCUCGCUUGCAUGAAGAAGGAACGAUGCCUUUUUCAAUGGUGUCUCCCUCCCAUUGUGCAGAAGAGCUUUUGUUGGCUUCUCUCCCGAGCUUGUGCCUGAUUCUGUGGCCCAAAACAAUCAUUGUUAACAUCUUCAUGUGUUUCAUUCUGAUCUUUCAUUCAUAUAUAUGAUGCCUAGCUAAUUUCAUUUUAAAAUAAAUGGGAAUCUGUUGUAUUCUGAUUUUUUAUUAGCAACACUAGAUUAUGAGGGGUUAUCUCCUGUUAUUAAAAAGUCAGAAAACACUAUACAGUAGUCCUCCCUUAUCUGCGGGGGAGACAUCCCAAGACCCUCAGUGGAUGCCUGAGACUGGAUAGUAUGGAAUCCUACAUAUCUAUACCUUGGCUUUUUCCUCUACGUACAUACCAUGAUAAAGCUUAACAAAGAACAGUGAGAGAUUAACAGCAACCAAUAACUAAUAAAAGCUAUGUGAAUGUGGUCUCUGUCAAAAUAUCGUGCUGUAAUCACCCUUCUUGCUAUCUGAAAACCAAGAAGACCACUAAGUGACUAAUGGUCAGAGAAGCUGGAUGAGGGGCUGAUUCAUGUCCUGGGCAUGACAGAGCGGGAGGCACAAGGUUUCAUCACACUAUUCACAAUGGCGAGCAAGUUAAAACGGAUUUCCCAUUUAAUUUAAUUUUCAGACUUCAGUUGACCAUGAGUAACCGAAACCACAGAAAGUGAAGCUGGGGAUAUUUCAGAA